CCUACGGGAGGCAGCAGUGGGGAAUAUUGGACAAUGGGGGCAACUCUGAUCCAGCCAUGCCGCGUGUGUGAAGAAGGCCCUCGGGUUGUAAAGCACUUUCAGUGAGGAAGAACGCCUGGUGGUUAAUACCCAUCAGGAAAGACAUCACUCACAGAAGAAGCACCGGCUAACUCCGUGCCAGCAGCCGCGGUAAUACGGAGGGUGCGAGCGUUAAUCGGAAUUACUGGGCGUAAAGCGCGCGUAGGUGGCUUGAUAAGCCGGUUGUGAAAGCCCCGGGCUCAACCUGGGAACGGCAUCCGGAACUGUCAAGCUAGAGUGCAGGAGAGGAAGGUAGAAUUCCCGGUGUAGCGGUGAAAUGCGUAGAGAUCGGGAGGAAUACCAGUGGCGAAGGCGGCCUUCUGGACUGACACUGACACUGAGGUGCGAAAGCGUGGGUAGCAAACAGGAUUAGAUACCCCAGUAGUC
rnacentral:rRNA from 1 species